UUGUUUUUGAGUGGGAUGCAUCUGAGGACACAUCCAUUGACUACAACCCCCUGUGAGUGGCUUCAGGCCUGAGUUCUAGGUCUUUUCCACUAGGCAGUCCUAGGGAGCUGAUGACUACAGAGGUGGAGAAAGUAAGAUAAGCUGGGAUGGAAAAUUGGUAGACUGGUAGUCAGCCAGCCCUCUGGUGGAAGAAAGACCCUGUCCAGAAAGAACUGUUUCAUACUAGUAGUCUGCCCUUCCCUUCUACUGCCGUAGCAGCUCCUUCUUUUUUCUUUUCCUCUAUCUCAAUCCCAGGUACAAAGAACGGCACCAGGUGCAGUUAUUAGGGCGAGGCUUCAUUGCAGGCAUUGACCUCAAGCAGCAGAAACGAGAGCAGUCACGUUUCUAUGGAGACCUAAUGGAGAAGAGGCGAACCCUGGAAGAAAAGGAGCAGGAGGAGGCAAGACUCCGCAAACUUCGUAAGAAGGAAGCCAAGCAGCGCUGGGAUGAUCGUCAUUGGUCUCAGAAAAAGUUAGAUGAGAUGACGGACAGGGACUGGCGGAUCUUCCGUGAGGACUACAGCAUCACCACCAAAGGUGGCAAGAUCCCCAA
rnacentral:sRNA from 1 species